AACAUGUCCUAAAAUGAAAGAGGAAAGAAUGGAACGAUUCAAACUCUAACCCUAAACCUAAGAGCCGACUUUAGCAGAAACAGAAAAAUCGAAGAAUCAAGAAUCGCAUCAGAGAGUUAAAGAAUAAGUGGAGGUUUUUAAUGAUGGCUUUAGCGAUUCAGUGGAGAAAUCGUUAUCGAUAGAAUUGAAAAGAAGUGUGAUAUGGAUAGAAUUGAAAAGAAGUGCGAUAUAUAUAUAUAUAUAUAUAUAUAUAUAUAUAUAUAUAUAUAUAUAUAUAUAUAUAUAUAUAUAUGAAAUAUAUCAACGAAAGUCGGAGUGAUUUAUCAGAAGGAUAUGAAUAAUUACAUGUUUGAAGCCAAAAUCGGAGUGUUUAAUCAGAAGAGAUGUUAGUGGGUGUUUGAAGACGAAGCAAUUGGAGCGCUUACUACCUCUAGGACGAAGUCAAGUAACAGAUAAUUUGAUUUUGAGGUUAACUUAUGGAUAUAAUUGUAUUUUUCAAAUUUUUGUUGAAGAGGGUGGUGGUGAUACUGAUUUAGUUAUUUUGGUGACCACAAGACUGACAUGUGGACCAUACGUGUUGCCUCGUACGUUGCAGGUCUCACUAAAAAUAUUUUCAUGAAAAGCAUAUUAAAAUAAGAUGCAGAAAGGAUGAUUUAAUUCAGAACGGAUUAACCAGGUGUGUUUUAUCUCGACAGCUGUGAUAAUAAUUUUUAUGCCCCUGGUCUUAUAUAUUAUAGACUAUAAUUUUGAAGCAAAUAAAGGAGAAGAUGAGUAUCUGAUUGAGUAUGCAGCCCACAAAAAAAAUCGAUGAGUAUACCUGGAGAUAUUAGAAACAGAAAGCAAACACCAGUGAUGAAAUCGAUUAUGAAUGUAAAAGAAAAAUAAGGGCUCGGUUAUAUUUUGAAAUGAAGGGCAAAGUUGGAAUUUCAGUUAGAAGAUUUGAGCGGGAAAAAUAAAGGUGGAGGAGCUAAAAGAAUGCCACGUUGCAGGUUUUGUACUGUUUUAUUAGAAGAGAGGAUAUAUAUAUAUAUAUAUAGAGAGAGAGAGAGAAGGGGAUAAUAUAAAGAUAAAUAUGAAAAGUGGUGCAACGUAGCCGAAACCACAAAAAUUCAAUCGAUAAGCAUGACGCUUGGUCGGGGAUGAUGUUUUUGUGCAUCACGUGCUUCGUUUUCACGUCUACUCCGGAUAACAUUGUUAUCUUUCUGCUAACAAAUGUACAACAAUGUAAUUUAUAAGUUAAAAGGUAUAAAUUUUUGGUGUACUUUGCAUUAAAAAGUCAUGUGUUACACAUUGGCUCAUUGAUCGACUUAAUGACUUUGUUGUUUAA